rnacentral:rRNA from 1 species
CAGUAGCCACGGGAAAACCAGCACCUCGAGUGGUCAGGAGGUUUAUUGGGCCUAAAGCAUCCGUAGCCGGUUGCAUAAGUUUUCGGUUAAAUCUAUGCGCUUAACGUAUAGGCCGCCGAAAAUACUGUGCAGCUAGGGAGUGGGAGAGGUACACGGUACUCGAUAGGAAGGGGUAAAAUCCUUUGAUCUAUUGAUGACCACCUGUGGCGAAGGCGGUGUACCAGAACACGUUCGACGGUGAGGGAUGAAAGCCGGGGGAGCAAACCGGAUUAGAUACCCGCGUAGUCCCUGUCUCUUAUAC